rnacentral:rRNA from 1 species
GAGAAGACUCAGGGAUUGCCCUAGUAACGGCGAGUGAAGCGGCAACAGCUCAAAUUUGAAAUCUGGCCUUCGGGUCCGAGUUGUAAUUUGUAGAGGAUGCUUUCGGCGCGGUGCCUUCCGAGUUCCCUGGAACGGGACGCCUUAGAGGGUGAGAGCCCCGUACGGUUGGACACCAAGCCUCUGUAAAGCUCCUUCGACGAGUCGAGUAGUUUGGGAAUGCUGCUCUAAAUGGGAGGUAAAUUUCUUCUAAAGCUAAAUAUUGGCCAGAGACCGAUAGCGCACAAGUAGAGUGAUCGAAAGAUGAAAAGCACUUUGAAAAGAGGGUUAAAUAGCACGUGAAAUUGUUGAAAGGGAAGCGUUUGCGACCAGACUUUUUCUUAGCGGAUCAUCCGGUGUUAUCACCGGUGCACUUUGCUAGGUUAAGGCCAGCAUCGGUUUCCGUAGGGGGAUAAAAGCUUGGGGAAUGUAGCUCCCUCGGGAGUGUUAUAGCCCCUUGCAUAAUACCCUUAUGGGGACCGAGGACCGCGCUUUUUGCAAGGAUGCUGGCGUAAUGGUUGUCAACGACCCGUCUUGAAACACGGACCAAGGAGUCGAACAUUUGUGCGAGUGUUUGGGUGUUAAACCCUCACGCGUAAUGAAAGUGAACGGAGGUGAGAGCCCUUACGGGUGCAUCAUCGACCGAUCCUGAUGUCUUCGGAUGGAUUUGAGUAAGAGCAUAACUGUUCGGACCCGAAAGAUGGUGAACUAUGCGUGGAUAGGGUGAAGCCAGAGGAAACUCUGGUGGAGGCUCGCAGCGGUUCUGACGUGCAAAUCGAUCGUCAAAUCUGCGCAUGGGGGCGAAAGACUUAUCGUGCAUCAU